ensembl:lincRNA
CUGGUUUAUUAGACUGUGGGUUGGAAUAGAUACACAACUUUUAUCUUCAAUAAUAGAUGCUGAAAUUUCAAUUAGUCACUUUGUUUUUGUUUUUUGGUAUUGGGGAUCGAAUUCGGGUCCUUGUGCUUGCAAGGCAGGCGGUAGAACCACUGAGUGAAAUCCCCAGCCUAGCCACUUACUAUUUGUGACAAAUCUAUAUUCCAAUUUGAUAUUGCCACCUCUACAUUCUUAGAAUCUAAAGGGACACGUGGUGCCAUAGAGUGCGAGUCAUAAUCCGACAGUUCACAGAAAGAAAAGGAAAGGACCUGCUCCAGCCUCAGGCAGGGCUUGCACCACGGCCUGGGCCAUGCCCUGCUCGCUCCGCCCCCCUCCUGCUGGGCCCCUGUCUGCAGCACAGGCAGAAGGUGCGGCUCCCAUCCCCUGACCCUCCUGGGUGACUCAGGCUGCUCUUACUUUCUUUAUAGUUUUCAAUGGUGGCUUUGCUUUUCCCAGCUCACACAGCCCAGCCCAACUAGAGGCCUGCUAGAGUAGGUUAGAGAGAAAGGAUUUCCGAUUUUCUCCAGUGGAUAACUAAGUUCCCUUAUAAAUCAAUGUCCUGCUUCUCAGGUUGCGGCUCGCGAUUAAAUCCCCAAGAACUGGAGCAGCUGAGAGGAUGGCCCAGGCUGAAACGCCCCACGCAGCCCCUGGGAGAGGGGUCCACCGUCAUCCUUGCAACACUUGCGGCUGUCUUGUUUGGGGUCAUUUUCUAUACAGUCGGUCACAGUUAAAUGAAGACGAUGGCCGUUUGCGCCCAGCCCCAGGACUGUGCGUGCUGCACACUGGCUCCGCCUCUGGAACCGCCCGCCCUUGGUGUGUUCUUUUCCCAGCACCCUUCAGAACGCAGGCGCUAACCGUCGGCCGGUCCUGUGGGGCUCCCUCUCACGGUCUGCUUCUCCCUGGCCACGCUUUCCUUCCCCUCCCCGUCCCCAUGUCCGUGCCCAGGCCUCUCCUGCCUCUCCCUCCCCAAGCGUGUGGGGAGCACCCAGUGCUGGGUGCCAGCUCGUUUCCUCCAGCAGCGCUGCUGCACCUCGUUCGCGGGAUGGAGGCAGCCGGAAACUUUCAUUUCAUUAUUGAAGAGCUCACAGGAAUUAAAGGAACACUUUUGGGAGGCUGCCAGGGUGCCCAGUUUGGCACUGCUCCUCAGAGGGUGUUGGAGGAAAGGGAUCACUGUGACCAAGGGUUUGUCUCAGACCUGCUUCUGCACUGGUGCGUUAGGAAGACCACAGAAUGAAAUUCCACCAAGAAAUUCAAGUGAGGCAGUCUGCGAGGCUGAGGCAUGAGGACUGAAAGGCCAGGUCUAGCCUGAGCAACUCUUACUGAGCCCUUGCCUCAAAAUCAAAGCUUGAAAUUGCAGAAGGACUGGGACAUAGCUCAACGUGAAGGCCCUGUGUUCAAUCCCUGGUCCCCGCACCCAAGCGCAGUCCCCAGCGCUGGCUUCCCAUGGAAUGCAUCUUCUGGGAAGUGAGGCAGAACUCCCGAAGCUCCCAAGGAGGUGUGGCUCCUCUCAGCUUCCCUCUCCAUCCAGCCGCAGACACAGGGACAGAGGACACCAGAGGACACGAUUCUCCCCAGUGCUGGGGAGCAGAACCCUCGUGGGGAACCAAGAGUUGUUGUGCUAUUUUUGGCUGGGGGCAGCACUCUCAUUGCUGAUUACCACCCCUCACACAGGGGUGUGUCCCUCUGUCCUUCCUUUUGUUUGCUGUCGUGCUCUGUAAAUAACAAGGCUACAGAGGUAGGGUCACCAAGAGGAGAGGAGGGGCAGGGAGGGCUGUGGCACGCCUUCGAUGCUCAGGGGGCCGGUGCAGCCCACAGCAAGCCAAAGCAAACUCCAGUCUUAUUUGCCCAGAUGCAGGCAGUGGGAGACCCUCCCCAGGGACUCCUUCCCUCUACUUGGCCAGGGUACCUGCCAAGCACCCUGCAGCCCAGGGCUCCCGACAGCUUCCUGCUGAAAGUUUCAUCCUGUGCUUUUGCAGACAAGCCCAGCUCCCGCCCAGAUGCGGCUAGCAGGGACCGCCUUCUUCUGUACAAACCAAAUCCUUUCAAGACACCCAGAGGAUUACCAGUGACAGCAAAGCAACGGCUAGAAUUUUUCUGGACGUGUUUUCCUUGUGAUCUAAAAGGACGGGUUGAGGCUGUGCCUGCUGUGAGAGCAGGACACCAGGUUUCCAGAUACCUGACUUGUUCCUGCCCACAAACGGGGAACAGUGCCAGCCUAAGGAGGGGCUCCCCGUGUGGCCCUGGACACUGCAGGUGGAACUCAUUGGACUCCGUUCCUUCCUUUGUCCAGGCAGCAACUCGUUGCAAAGUGUAGCAUUGUCUACUACCUCCAAAGAACUGAUUUCUCCCGGAUUCCACUGAGCAGGAUCCACAGACACAGGGACCUCCCUGCGUCAGGCACUGCCCCAGGGAAUCACUGCUACCAGGGUGCUUUCCACACCUCUGCAGCUCCUAGCAGAAAACUCCAUCUCUGAUGUGUGCAAACGUCUACCAGACACAGCUGCUUUUAGUGAACUUAUUAUUUCCCCCAGAAACAGACAUUUCGAUCACCACUGUAGUAUUAACUACAAUGACUUUUACCAAAUGAAAAGUAGAAAAAAAAAAAACAAAACGUAAAUGUUACUACUCACAAGUUUUCAGCAGCAGCAGCAAAGAAAAAAAUAACAAAACCACAUCUGUACACAUCAGAAACUAUGUCUGUCUUCUGUAGGAGAGAGGAAACUAUAGCCCCUCGAGGUGCACUCUCCUGCCCGGUGUGGGCGGGGUACUUACCUUAUAGGCCGAGUAGAAGGAGCCCCAGGACCCCCCGAGCUCCACCCCAGUGAAGGUCACUGUGUCUUCACAUGCCUCAGGGGAAGCAUCAGUGGUCGGGGCACUGGAGGGGCUGGCCUGGGCGAGGUGAGCCGGCAUGGCUCGGGUGAGCCCUGCACCUGCGGAGCUGGGCACCGGCUGCAGCUCCUUCCCUAGCCAGGCUUCAGGCUGAACUGGCUGACAGCAGCUCCGAGCCAGCCGGAGCCCACCUCUGAAGAGCUCUGCUGAUGACAGGGGGACCCACGUGCUGCUGUCUCCUCACAGUCCUAAUUGAUCCUGUAGCUGGCACAGCUCCGUCACCCACGGUUCCUCCCAGGGCCUGAGAGCAGGUGGGAGCGCCCCACAGCUGGCUCCGGGGCUCCCUGCACUGGCCUCCUUGCCAGCACCCAGCUGACCCAGCAGACCCUACUCCAGCUCCAGCCUCAGCAGCACAGGAAGCUGCAUUCCGCAGUGCGGCCAGUACUCAAGUCGCGUUUGCGCUUCCACAGUCCCCGUGAUGAUGCCUGUGUUUCCGCCGGGGGUGCUUUCUGACCUGCAGUCCUCACCCAGCCUUGUAUCAGUAGCACACGUAUUGUUUCAGAAGACACAGGCAGGCGGCACAUCUGUGUCUCUCACCCAUGGUUCUAGCCAGUUUCUCAGGGGAAGUUCUCAGAAAAGCGGCUGGCAGGGGCCAAGCUCCCGCUUGAGACCACAGAGGUGCAGAGGGAGCACCUGCCCUGGAAGUGAGGAGCAGCGGAGCCCAGGGAAGGAAGGGCUCCUCCUCGCCCGACAGAGGGGUGGGCAGGGUGGCGGCCGCGGCCCCUGCUUCACAGGCAGCCUCUCAAAGUGCAGUGAAAGGGCUCCUUUAAUUCCCACAGCACCUGUAAGCAGCUGGGGAAAGUACCUUCGUGUUCUCUCUUGAAUCUGGAAGAGGAAAUGACCUGGCCAACGUCCCAGGGUGGGUGGUGGGUGAGCUGACAACCGGCUCUUCUGAAGUCCCUCAUCAGUGGAGGUUUCUGGAACAUGGACUGAUGUGCUUCACGUCCCAGACACAAUCCGGAUGUGAAGUUCAAGGAAACAAGGGAGCAGCCAAGUGUAAAACAACAGAAAGGAGCUGCACAGCUCGGGACUUUCACGUGACAGCACCUGAACGACCAGUCAGGGCUCAUAGCGCCUGGAGUUCGGGGUCAGUGACGCUCUAAAAGACUUGGAGACCCCCCCCCUGGGUCCCUAGGACACUUUAGAGUGAUGCAUCCAGGGCCAAGAAGGUUAUGGAUGGAGAGACAUUAAUCCACAGUGAGCGGGCAGCUGACAGGAGGGCACUCUCCAGACAAGUGGGUGAGCUGAGCUUUCCGGAAAGAGUCAAAACAAAAAAAUAACCACUAAGCAAAAUUAUUCCCUCUGGCAAGGAUUCCACUUGGAAAUACUGGUAAACAAACAAGGCAAGGUGCCCAAUCACAGUAACAGUUAAGGAAAAGCCAUUUCAAACAGUAAAGAUUUUGCCUACUCUCGUAGUGGAAACAAGGCAGGCCUCCCCGUGUGGACAUGAUGCAGGGGAAGGGGCCACCCAGCGUCACUUCUGACACAAGACAACCAGAGCGUCCCACGCAUGUGUAACCCACACCUCCAACACACCCUCCACCUCUGCAUGCCGGUCACCUUCCAGAUCCAUCUCGGCCACGCACAUGUGUGCAGUUUGGGUGAAUCCACUGUGCUGCAUUUUCAAAACACACGCACUUUUCUGCAGGUAAGUUUUACUUCAAAGAAUAUUUGUAAAACAGUUUGUGAGAAGCAUUU